rnacentral:lncRNA from 1 species
GCAUCCUUUCUCCCAAGCAGCGAAGCCGAACCAGACACCAGAAGAAACAGGGGAGAACGCGAGAACAGAGGAGCCAUAGCCUGCGUGUGUCGAGACUCCAGGGGUCGGGUUGUCGACGGCUAUGCGAAAUUGGUGGUCGCGUCUUCGGCAGAACAGGCGGAGGCCAUAGCCCUCCUUGAAACCCUAAUCUUUCUCUCCAACCGAACUCACCUUUCA